rnacentral:rRNA from 1 species
GCUUGAGCACGUAGGUGGGUUUGUAAGUCAGAUGUGAAAGCUUUCUGUUCAACGGAAGAAUUGCAUCUGAAACUGCGAGUCUUGAGUGUAGGAGGGGAGAAUGGAACUUCUGGUGGAGCGGUGAAAUGCGUAGAUAUCAGAAGGAACGCCGGCGGCGAAAGCGAUUCUCUGGCCUAUUACUGACACUCAGUGUGCGAAAGCUAGGGGAGCAAACGGGAUCAGAUACCCCGGUAGUCCUAGCCGUAAACGAUGGGCACUAAGUAGAGGGAAUUACCGAUAUUCUCUCUGCCGUAGCUAACGCAUUAAGUGCCCCGCCUGGGGAGUACGGCCGCAAGGCUAAAACUCAAAAGAAUUGACGGGGGCUCGCACAAGCGGUGGAGCAUGUGGCUUAAUUCGAUGCAACGCGAAAAACCUUACCGGGGCUUGACAUGGUAGAAGUAGGAACCCGAAAGGGUAACGAACGGUAUCCAGUCCGUAGCUAUCACAGGUGUUGCAUGGCUGUCGUCAGCUCGUGUCGUGAGACGUUGGGUUAAGUCCCCUAACGAGCGAAACCCUUGUUUUUAGUUACCAGCGGGUUGUGCCGGGUACUCUAGAAAGACUGCCGUCGUCAAGACGGAGGAAGGUGGGGAUGACGUCAAGUCAUCAUGGCCCUUAUGCCCCGGGCUGCACACGUGCUACAAUGGUCGGUACAAACGGAUGCGAAGCCGAGAGGUGAAGCGAAUCCAAGC